UGUUUUUCUCUACAUCAAUUAUUAUCAGUUUUUGUCGGAGACAGGAAGCCUAGGUAGUGGACCCAAUACUCAUCCUGCAUCCGAGUGAAGCGGGUAACAAGUGUGGAGAGCGAGGUCACUGGAUACGCUAUGGUCGCUCUUCGGGGAGAAGGGCGACCCAGAGAGGACUCUACAGCAAGCUACGGGAAAAACACUUCGAGGCUGAGUGUCUGAGGAGCGGACGACUGCGGACUCCCCGUCUCCAGGACGGUGCUCCCUACAACGUACAUUCUUACAGCAUCAAGCAUCUACAGGGAGGACGUAACUGUUAGCGUGGCUGGAGGGCUUCGUCAGGGAGCACCCGGUGUGGCAAUAUUUCCAUUCAGACCCUUCCUGCCUCCCUGCCUCCUCUGACAGUCUGGAAGAGGGGAGCUUCCAUGCAGGAUAUGCUGGAUGUGGAGCCUAGUAUACCAGCUGUUCACAGGAUGUGGAGCCUAGUGUACCAGCUGUUCACAGGAUGUGGAGCCUAGUGUACCAGCUCUUCACAGGAUGGGGAGCCUAGUGUACCAGCUCUUCACAGGAUGGGGAGCCUAGUGUACCAGCUGUUCACAGGAUGUGGAGCCUAGUGUACCAGCUGUUCACAGGAUGGGGAGCCUAGUGUACCAGCUGUUCACAGGAUGAAUAUGGGGCUCACAACAAACUAUCGUUGAUGACCACUUGAUGACUGUGACGAGGACCACACCACACCACUGGUGGUCAUCAACACGACCACACACACCACUGGAGGUCAUCAACACGACCACACACACCACUGGAGGUCAUCAACAAGACAGGAUGGACUGGUCAUCACCCAGGUAACAUGGACAGUUACCACUAACAGCUCCAGACCUCUCAUAAGAAUGUGGAUAAAACUCUCCACUAUUGUGUCCGGUCAUAUUCACCACAAGAGGAUGCAAGUUCACUACAUAAUAUUUUAAACCUACUUCUUCACUUGGUUGUUCUUUGUGUAUAAUGUUUGUGCGUGUGUGUUUUG